UACGUAGGGGGGCAAGCGUUGUCCGGAUUUAUUGGGCGUAAAGAGCGUGUAGGCGGCCAUACAGGUCCGUUGUGAAAACUCGAGGCUCAACCUCGAGAGGUCGGUGGAAACCGUCUGGCUAGAGUCCGGAAGAGGAGAGUGGAAUUCCCGGUGUAGCGGUGAAAUGCGCAGAUAUCGGGAAGAACACCCGUGGCGAAGGCGGCUCUCUGGGACGGUACUGACGCUGAGACGCGAAAGCGUGGGGAGCGAACAGG
rnacentral:rRNA from 1 species